ACAAAUCAUUGAUAAAUUUGCUAUAUUUGAAAGUCUUGUUCAGUAUUUGUACACCUUUAACACCACCCAGCUUAUAGAAGCAUGGAUUAGACGUUUCUAUCUUAAAGCUUCAACAAGAAUGUUCUAGACGCUUCGAUCUGUGCAAGAAUUUUGCUUAAUAUGUUCUGAUGUGCACCUGUUUUAAACUAGACUUAAAGAGGAAGCGGAACUUUCCAUUAGCCGGUAUAAACUUCUAGUUGUCAUCUUAGCUUUAACAGAUAAAAUUCGAUUAUGGGAAUACCUUGUAUAUUUUUUCUCACUAUAUUACUCAGUUAUGUAAACCAAGUACAUUUACAGAUGUACCAUCCUCGAGAUAUCAGCAGAGGUCAACAACAGAAUAAACUUAAAAGGAGUUAUCUUAUUCAACUAUUAAACGAUCUAUUGAAUAAACCUGAAACUAAGACCAAUGUAAAUAGAAAGCGAUCGUGUAAUCUCAACCUCGGAUUCCAUUGUCAAACAGAUGAAUAUUCUUCAAUAGCCGACAUGUUUGAUUUUCUACAGAGUUCUCUCAGUCCAGGAAAACGAAAAAGAAAUCUGAAAAUUUUAUCAAUAGAGGGAUCUUAAGGCACAGAUUUGAACGUCCGGACACAAACCAUCAUAGGCCUAAACAGAGUGGACAAUUAACUGGGUUUCUUCAUCGCUGUAACGAUUACCAGAGGAACGUAGAUAUACCUUACAUCACCAUAAUACAAGCUUACAAGAAACCGUACAAAACAGAAAAUAAAUCCACAAAAGACAAUGUGAAAAGUGUUGUGUAAAGUGUGUUUAUUUAACUUCUGCGUCCAGAUAAAUGAUAUCGCUGAGAAAUGCAGCAAAUCUUUAAAAUCUCUCUGAAACUUAUAAUGCUUGUUUUAUUCUUAAAUAACCAAACGUUUUGUACCUCUAAAUAUAAAUCCUGAAAGGAUAUGUAUUAAAAAAGGUGUUAAUAUCAGAUUACAAUACGAGGGCUGGCUGAAAAGUUCUAAGAAUAUCUGUAAAAGACCUGUACAAAGUCGAUGGUUUCCAUUUCUUUUUCUACACACUCCCCUUCGAGAUGUGCACACUUUUGCCAACGAUGUUGCAAGGCCUGGAUGCCGGUCAGGAAGAUUUUUUUUCAGCCACUCUAAAAAAAGUCGUUCACAGCGGACAUAACGUCAGGAUCUGCUUCAAAACGGCGGAGAUUGUCACGGGACGUCAGGAAUCGGACAUAUUUCUGAUCCGCAGUCAAGAGCUUUUGCACCCAUCUUGCAGAAACAUUUAACAUUCCUAACUCGUUGGCAAUAAUGUGCGUAACCACUCUCAUGAGAGAUACCCACAACACUGGCAUCAAUCGUCGAUCAGCCAUCACCAUGUCAUGCACCCGUAUAAUGUUUACUUAAAUGGUUGAUGUUGAUGGCCUUCUAGGACGCGAGUCAUCGCCAAGGCUCUCCCUGCGUAACUUCUGCAGCCCACAUGUCGUCAUGUAUCUGUGUUGGGGCGAGUCCUUUCAGUUGCAGGUACUUGAUGGCUGUCCUAUUGCCGGUUUUGUCCAUUUGUGGGAUUUCAAUGGGUAGGUUCAUAAGAUGGUCUAGUAUGAAGACAAUAAUAACACUACAGAUGCAGUUCUAAGGUCUAUGAUUCAUUCAAUGAUUGCACUUGUUGGUGGCAAAAGUUUGUUUCAACCCAAUUGAUCUAUCCUUUUUAGGCUUAGAACUAUUCAGCCAGCCUUAGUACCAGUUUUAAGAUAUGAAUCAUUUUUUAUUGGAUCGAUGAUACUACACUAUGAAUACAUCACUAAAAACCCGGCUUAUGACAUAAAAAUACCGCAAUAGAGCAUUGUAGUUAAUGUUCAUUUGCUGGUUGAAAUAACGCAUCCAUCAUUUAUGUUUAAAACAACCAAAAAAUAAAUA